rnacentral:lncRNA from 1 species
GGGAAGGGAGUUUGUACAAAAGUGAGGAGUGAGUAUUCAUGUGACUCCAUCCCUUAUUUAUAGUACAUGAAAAAUCCUAGUUGGUUCAUAUUUAAACUCUAGAUGAUAAAGUUCAAGAGGUAUAAUUAAAAUUAAAUCUAAACAAUAUCAUAAUAAUCCUAACAGUAAUUCCAAAUGGAAUUCAAAUUUAAACAAAGUUUUAUGUUCAUAAAUCUCUUCUUUGAAAUUUUGCCCCAAGUUUUCCACACUUUAUAUUUUUGUCACCACAUCUUCUCUAUUUCGCAUGCUGACCCGUUUUGUCUUUGAAUUCACGAUUUUUGCCUCUAAAUUUCCUUUUGCCUUCAAUCUAGUCCCUACAAGAUAAAAAAAAACUAUAAACAACCCAAAUUAGUAGGAUCAUACUCAAAAUAUAUAUGUAAUUAGCUCAUAAAAGUAUGUCACUUUAGAGUAUUACCAUAUUCCCCCUACUUAGCCCAUGCUUGCCCUUAAGUAUGGCUCAUAUUCUACUAUGUAAUUUAGAUUUUAUCAUGGAAAGAAGUAUCACUCCAGAGUUUUAUAAAAAUUAGGCAUAAUGCAUAUGAAAAUGUUGAGAACCUUUAGCUUGCUUUAAGCAAAACCGAAAAAGUACUCAAACUUAAACACACAAAAAUUAAAUCAACUUGGAUUAUUUCAUGAAAGUUAGGCAAUUUACUAAACUUACCAAGACACCUAUUUUUUUCACCUUUAGUCCCCAAAUUUAAUUCUCUUCCUUUCUUUUCCUUUGUCUUAUUUUGUCGAUUUUUUUUUUUGCUUAAGAAUGUAUUGGUCCUUUUGACGCGAAGUGAAAUGACAACCCAAGCACCCCACCCCGGUUACUCAACCCAACACACUCCUAAUUUAUUUAUUUUUAUUUUUAUCCAUAAUUCUGGUUAGCGGAGAUUUACUUAACACAUCACACAACCUUUUUACGCGAAGUAGGAUGACAACUCAAUCACUCUGUAACACUCUGAACCUGUGUUUGUUGCCGAAUUAGGGUUACGAGGUAUUACCGAUCAAAAUACAACUUAGAACAGGCAUUCAUUCAUAUAAAUCUAUUCAUUAACUACUUUCCAAAAAUACUAUUUAUAAUUAUGCACUCUUCACAUUUUACUAAGUCAAACCAAACCACAUGAUAUAUUAAAUGUUAUAUAUAUAUAUACAGACAUUAACAACAUCACAUAUUGGUCAAGUAUAAAAUUUGGUUUUUACCAAAUUAUGCACACUUUAACAAAAUAAUAACUACCAAUUUAUACAAAAGAGCCGACUCAAAUCAAUACCAAAAUUAUAACACCACUUGACUAAUGAAAUAUCCAAAACACCUAUCUACCAUUUACCAAAUUCAUAAAUCACAUAUAUGGUACAUUUUAAACUCAAGCAUUUAACUUAACAAUUUAACCGUUAAUUAACAAAAUCACAAACAAAACAUAUCAUAGACAUGUAUAAGUAUAUUUUACCUAUCGUUAGCCAAAUAUAAAUAUACACCCUUUCACCACUUCCAAAAUACAUUUGUACGAUCGAUCUUUACCUAUAUAUUCAGUCAUAAAAUUUAUUCUUCGAUAAACCAACCAAUUUCACAAUCUCGUAUCAACACUAAUUGUACCAUUUAUAACCGGACCUAAAUGACCAUCAAAUCAAUUACAAAACAGGUUCAUAUUUUACCAUCAUAAGCUGUCUUUUAACAACCAAUAUGCAAGUUAUCACACAUAUAUAACUUAACUUAUGUGAGCAUAAGUAUUAUAUCAAAAACACAUUAUUUACCACUUUCAAACCUUUACACAAGACAAAUUAUACAUCCAAAAUAAAUCAAUAAUAAGCCACAACUAAAAUACAUCCAUCAACUAUAUUUACUUCACUUAAGCCGAAUUAUAUAAUCAAUCAUCACACAAAUAUGCUAUAAAUCAUACUUUCAAAAUAAGCUAUUUUCAUGACCGAUUAUACAUUAUCAUAGCAUCAUUAACACAACCAAAACAAAUCCAUCAUCCUUAUAUCAAGCUUACCAACAUGAACUAAUCAUAAACCAUAUAUAAAAUAUAUCUUUUCAUCGUACCGAAUUCAUAUACCAAAUAUACCACACAUAUAUACCAUGUCUCAAAAUUACUUAAACAUAAGCAUAUUAGCGUUAAAUCAGUGGAGAUAAAAUUUGAGCAGCUUGCAGAUUUAAGUUUGAGGGAAAGGGAGAUUUAAGUAAUUUUUCUUGUUAAUAAAGACCUGGCUGGUCUGAGAGUAAGAAGCGGUGGCACCAGAAGUCUCGAUUUCCACCAUAGCUGCAGCAGGAAGAAGCUCACACAGCAAGAAUCUUCAUACCUCAAAAUCACCCAAGCAAUUCAAAAAUUGUCUUUUAUAAUUUUUCAAAUGUGUUGGGGAUGAGGAGGAGCAAAG